AUACGUAGGGUGCAAGCGUUAAUCGGAAUUACUGGGCGUAAAGCGUGCGAAGGCGGUUUUUUAAGAUCGUUGGGAAAACCCCGGGCUCGACCUGGGAACUGCCAUUGGGACUGUCAGGCUGGAGUGCGGCAGAGGGGGGUGGAAUUCCGCGUAUAAGAGGGAAAUGCGUAGAUAUGCGGAGGAACACCGAUGGCGAAGGCAAUCCCCUGGGCCUGCACUGACGCUCAUGCACGAAAGCGUGGGGAGCAAACAGGAUUAGAUACCCUGGUAGUCCACGCCCUAAACGAUGUCAACUGGUUGUUGGGGAUUUAUUUUCUCAGUAACGAAGCUAACGCGUGAAGUUGACCGCCUGGGGAGUACGGCCGCAAGGUUAAAACUCAAAGGAAUUGACGGGG
rnacentral:rRNA from 1 species